UUUAUUAAAAGAAGUGACUUACAAACAGAAAAAAAAAAUCAAAACCUAACAAAAUCCACCCUAAAAAAUCACAACAAAGACCCAGCCUAGAAAAGAGCUCCCCACAGUCCUUAAGGACAUUUAGAAAAUGAAAAACCAAUAGCUCUUUAGAAUCAAAACCGUCUCUUCUCAAUAAUGGAAGUUAAAGAGACUUUCUUCCUCAACCCUUCUUUUUUCCCCUUCGAACAACCCCAAAUCUGGUCACUGAUUACCAUUUCUUUGCUCUUCUGUCGUUUCUGACUACCGACUAUCUUUUUCCAUCUCUUCCAUCACCGACAAAGGAAUCAUAUUAGUCAGAUAAGUAGUUCCUCCUCCUCUUAUGCCUUCUAUAGCUAGUCGAUGGGGUGUUUCAUUUGCCUUUUUGUCGAUAUAUCUAAACAUGUAUUCCUUAAAUCCUCGAUUGGAUCAUUUUGCAUCUUCAAUGUAAGCACUUAUCAUAGAAUCAUCUUAUCUUUGUGUCUCUAGUUUCUUAAUCACUGUGAGGUUGUCUUCUUCAACAACCACUUUCUUGAACCUAAGAUCCAGACCCAUUUGGACUCUUUGAAGGCAGACCAACACUUCAGCCGCAAAAAGGGUAGGUAUAUGGUAGUUGAUUAUCAUUCUUGAGCCCAUAAUCCUACCUUCUGAAUCUCAUCCCACUAACUCCGAACAAGAUUUAUUCAAAUUGCCUAGGAAAGACGCAUCAAAAUUUAUCAAUGUAACAUCUCUCACCCGAUCCGAUCGCUGAUCCAAGUAACAGAAUGCUAAAACAACUAUCAGAACUUACACAUAUGCAAACACAAUUUUAAAUAAGAGCAACAAGUACCACUAUCAACUGUUAGACAUGUAAUCAUAACUAGUUAAACAUUUAAAUAAAUAUUAGAAAUAGAAUUAUUCGAGUAGUAAGGACAAUUUUGAAAAAUUUCGAAAACUAGCGUAAGUAUCGAUACUUUUACCUAGAAUGCUAAAAUUUCACAAGCUAAAAUGUUUUUCAUGCUCAAAACAUAUUCCUACUCAACAUGCAAAUAAUGUUUACUCUAACCAAGCCUACUAUCAUCUUUCAACCAUUUUUCAUGCUACAUUAACACAUAUUGGUCAAACAACUAUAGAAUGCAUUACUAAUAUCAAUCCCAAGCAUCAAAAUUUGUCCACAUCCAAAGUCCAAAAACAACAUUAAAAAUUCAUAAGCCUAAUCCCAAAAUAAUGAUAAUAAUAAUAGUCGUAACCAUCACAUUGCCUUUAUUCAGUAUGUUUAAAGAAUCACAAAACCACUCACUCAAAAAUUAUGCCUUGCUUAAAUCAUUUCCUUUGCCGCUUCAGUCACACGGAAAGUGCUACUUAUCUGUAAAAUUUUAAUGUAGAGUGUGUGAGUUUAAAUAAGCUCAGUGAAUGUUCUGAAUUACUGCAAAGCAUACACAACAACAUAAGUUAAGUAAGGGUAAACUAAGGCACAUGCACAACCAUAUAUUCAUCAAUGCAAAAUAAUAUAUGUUGACACCAUUUUUUUGGUAAAACGGGGUCGACUUGGAUUUUGAAAACAAAAACGAACAUGAGAGUCGCCACCAAUUUUUUUUAUGAGGUGAUCGGGUCACCUCGAAAAAUGGUUAUUUUUAAUAAACGGUUUAGAUUUAUUAAAACAAUGCUUUAGGUCUGCGAAAUUCAGAAAAAUGGGUUUGGGAGUCGGUUACGUACAAAGAAGGAUUAGCAUCCUCGUAACGCCCAAAAUUGGUACCUAGUUGAUUAAUUAAUGUCUUAGUGUCGAAGAUUGAAAAUUUUGAAGAGAUCUAAAAUACGAUCCUUUAUUAAAAUUAUUAAAAAAUGCUCGAAUAAAUUGGAAAGAGAGUUAAAGACCCACUCGUCCCAAAGUAACAAAACAUCACAUCCCGUAAGUUAGGACACGAUAUUUGGAACCAUAGAGAGUAAGUUUGCCUUUAAUUUUUAUUGAAAUUUUAUAUUUUUGAAAAUUAGAAGGACAUUUCACUAUUUUGGUUUAAUGAGAAAAAUCGAAACCCCGUAAGUUAGGGUACGAUUUCUCGGGUCACUAAAACACGAAAUGUUACCUCAUAACGAAAUUUCUUUUAUUUUUUUUAAAAAAAUUUAAAAGGAUUCUUUGCUAUUUAGGAUUAGCGAGAAAACUGAAACCCCGUAAGUUAGGGUACGAUCUCUCGAAUCACUAAAAUGCAAAGAUAUUGCCUUAUUGAGAUUUCUUUCAUUUUUUGAAAUUUUAAAAGGAUAUUUUGCUAUUAGUUUUAACGAGAAAGACCGAAACCUCGUAAGUUAGGGCACGAUUUUCUCAUAGUUCUAACAUGCAAAAUAUUUCUUUAUUUUUUGGAUAUUUCUCUUGUUGAAUUUGAGUAAGAAUCGAUGGAAUAUUUAAGAGUAACGCGUAUGCGAUUUGGACUAUACUAAAAAAAAAAUUACUUGAGAUAAAAGAAAGCAUACCUAACUAAUAGUAAUAUUAUAAUAUACAUUUGCAACAACUAUAACAUAAUACACAUGAUAGAAUAGUUAUAUAGCCUUGAUACUAGCAAAACCUAAUACUAACAUAUAUGCAUAAAAGCAAUGAUACCAAUGUCAAUAUAAUAGCGACAAUAAAACACAAAACUAGUAAAAUUCCAAAAGGAGUAAAACAUUCAUGUAUUAUAUAUAAAAUUUAAUAUAAAUUAAAUCAUCAAAUAAUAAUAAGAACAUACAAAAACAUAAAACUAAUAAAAAUCAGAUUAAAUGUUAAAUAUAAAAUAAACAAACAAAUAAAAUGUUAAAAGGAAAAUUUAAUAAAAACCCUUUUUGUUUAAAAUAUAAAAACAAAUAUAAAUAAAUAAUAAAAAUAAAAUGUCUGAGGACCGAAUUAAAAUCGGGUCACAAUAUUGGGGUUUAAACCGCAAAUAAUUAAAAAAGGUUGCAAGGGACUGAACUGAAAUAUGCUCGAAGCGUGAGGGACCUUUAGGGAAAUAUUCUCCAGCCCUAAAUGCAGUGAGAGUCUGCGCAUGGUCUAAGGACCAGAUUGAAUUGGAAGUCAAAAUUCGCGGCCCAAAUCAAAAAAACAAGAAGGAUCGAAUUGCACUGUGGCGCAAGAUGGAAGGACCCCGCACGUAAUUAGCCCAAUCAUCGUAAAAUACGCAGAUCCUACGGGCUGCGGGUCGGGUCACGGGUCGGCCUCCCUAGAACGACGCCGUUUUGGCGCCUGAGGAGGCCUAUUGUAACGGUGCCGUUUUAUUACAUCAUUGAAGCCAGAUUUUUUUUUGACCUUUUAUUUUCAGUCCAGAAGGAAAAAACUAAAGGGAGCCUCCAUUUCCUCUCAACGCCCCCAUCUCUCCGGCCUAGGUUUUCAACAGUAGGUCGCCCUAGCGCCGCCGUGUAACCACCGUGCCAGAGAGUAAAAACGUCUUUUUUCUUUUAAAAAAGGAAUCCUCUCCCUUUAAAGGGGCUUUUUCUUCAAAUGUAAAUCCGAUUCGGGGUAUUUUGAAACUGCAAACGAGGAAGAAAAAGAGGACGUGGUCGUCCUUGCUACUUCGCCGUCUUCUUUUUGCGGAUGCAGUCGAGAUGAAAUCUCAAGGGGUUUUUGCGGCCUUAACGACUGGAGGAGAACUCCGACGGCGAUAGCCCACGAGGAGACAGGUAAGUCCCGACCGCCCUUUUGGUUUUCUGUUUUUCUUUAUUUAUUCCAUUUUUAAAAUAAAAAUAAAAAAUAAAAAUAAAUCUAAAAUAACAGAGACACAAAUCACCUUCUGUAGUCUGAAAUCUAUAUCUUGAUUACUUGUGUAUCUGAAAAACAAUUACAGAGAUUGGGUUUAGGCUUUUAUAGCCAAACUAAAGCUAAUUGCUAUGAUUUCUUGUCUUUUUCUUUUUCUUUUCUGUUUGCUUUUAUUUCUUUGAUUUUCUUGCUGUUAGUAUUUUGUUUGUUUCUUCGUUGUCUUCUCUGUUGCAUGUGUUUUCUGUUUUGCAGGUGACUGAUGUGAUGAGCAUGGGAAGGCGGCGAUUGGUGAGACCGACGAUUGGCAAGCCGAGCGGCGGCGACGUAUGCAAAGGAGGCUAGCAGAACAUGCGGUGCCGAAGGCUGACCCUGGCUAGGGUUUCUUACUCAAGAAAAUGUUUUAAUCGGGCUUUGGGCUGUUAGGUUUUUUAGUUGUUGGGCUAGCUGGGUUAGAUUUAAUCUGAUUUGGGCUAGACUUUGGGUUAUUAGGUUUUGGGUUUCAUUUGGGCUUUGGGGUCAUAUUGGGCCUAUUAUAGAUUGACUUUUUAUUUUUGGGUUUACUUUUGUUUUGAUAUUUGGGCCCCGGGCAGAAAUUGGGCCUUACAAUAUAACCAUGCUUCAUUAUCUCAUAGGGCUAGCAUAUACUCUCACAUGUAUUUACACAAAAAAUAACUCAUAUAUAAUUCAAAUAAUGAUAAUUUGGUAGCUUGAAAUUAUGAAACGUAAAAUUAGACUCUAUCACCACACAUUGGAGAAAUGAAUCUCUAUCACACCAAUGACUCAAAGAGUCUAACAUGUCUUAUAAGUGUAGCAUAAAGCUAAACACUCUCUAACACACCAUGUCCUGAUGAAUGGAUCUUAGCUUGACAUUCUUUUAUUUCUCCAAUCUGUCCUGGGCCACAAUGCCCCAAUCACAA
rnacentral:lncRNA from 1 species